AGGUUCACGUUCUGGAUAAACUUGGGGUGGAUGAACUUGGAGUGGGUGUCUAUGCACUGGCACCGGAGUUCAAUCCCUGAACGGGCCAGGGCCAUACCUGUAAGACAAGGAGAAAAAAAGGGUGAACGUAGCUGGAUUAGGUAAUGAGGGCAUCUAAGCACUUAAUAACAGCCUUUCUUUUUGAAACCAGAAGUCUGCCUGAUGAAUAUCCUCUCUUCAACUGUGGCUAUCAGCAGGUGUCUGGGAACAUGUAAGAAAAGAGAGAAAUCAGAAAAGAUGAACUAUAGAUGAAAACAUCACAUGUUUUAUUGUAAACCUUCAUGAUUUGGGUGAAAGAGAGGAGUUACUGUUUAAAUUGAUUUACAAGCUUCUAGUCUGGGAGAUGGGAG